UUUCCGUAGGUGAACCUGCGGAAGGAUCAUUAAUGUGGUUGGGCCUCACGGCUCUUCAUUCCUACGCUGUGCGCCUUCGGGCUGCACGCUGAGGGAGCAUAUAUCCACCCCUGUGCACACACACGGUGGCGAGCUGGGUAACGGCUCGCCGAUGAUCUUUACACACGUCUAAAAGUCAUUGUAUGUUUAUUUGAGAUAAAAACACAACUUUCAGCAACGGAUCUCUUGGCUCUC
rnacentral:misc_RNA from 1 species